rnacentral:misc_RNA from 1 species
CUGGGGUCAUACCCGAUUGCAUAGUUGCAGCAAUACCAGACAAGGGGUCUCCGUUGUUAGGAUUAUUGGGAAGGGAGUGUGGGCGGCUUCUAGUUGCAUUAUGAUUGUGAAUGUAUGUCUCGAGGUCCUCAACUAAUCUUUCAGCAGAGUCCAUUGCAGAAUUUAAAGCAGAUGAUAGAGAAGAAAAUGAGGCAGCACCUUGCCACAGCAACCUAGAAACUUGAGCAGAUCGCCUUUGCUGAUUGCUCUCAUUCUCAGGAACAGGUAAUACUUGGGAGGCACGACGCCUUCGGCCCAACAAAUUAGUCCUCUCAGACCUUCCAUGUGUAACAUCAAAAUUCUGCGACCUAGAUUGCUCCCCCAUUGCACCAAUCAAGUUGCUAAUUUGCUGAAUCCUUUCUUCAAUGAGAGAAGAUGAUGCCCCUCGGAAUAAAAUUUGCUGCCUCAUACUCUCAAUCCUUUGCGCACGUGGCCUGGGAGGAACCUUCAAACCAGAAUCAUUCAGUUUUGACUUCUGGGCACGAUUACCAUUCCCAUGGCCAUAGAUUGGAAUGAUGCUUGUGUCUGUAACUUCACCUUGACAUUCAGGGCAUUCCUUGGCAUUUGAAUGAACAUAAG